UCCUACGGGGGGCAGCAGUGAGGAAUAUUGGUCAAUGGCCGGAAGGCUGAACCAGCCAUGCCGCGUGAAGGUCAGUGCCCUAUGGGCGUUAAACUUCUUUUGUGCGGGAGCAAUAAUGGUCACGUGUGGCCAGACGAGAGUACCGUACGAAUAAGCAUCGGCUAACUCCGUGCCAGCAGCCGCGGUAAUACGGAGGAUGCGAGCGUUAUCCGGAUUUAUUGGGUUUAAAGGGUGCGCAGGCGGGCUGUUAAGCCGGCGGUAAAAAUUCAGGGCUCAACCCUGUCGAGCCGUCGGAACUGGCAGUC
rnacentral:rRNA from 1 species